GGCAUGCAUCUGUAGUUCCAGCUAUUCAGGAAGCUGAGGCGGGAGGAUCACUUGAGGCCAGGAGGCUGAGGUUGCACUGAGCUGUGUUGGUGCCACUGCACUCCAGCCUGGGCUGCAGAGUGAGACCCUGUCUCAAAAAAAGAAAAAGAAAAAAAAAAGAAAAGAAAGAAAAAGAAAAGCAAAGAAAGAAAGCAACAACUAUCUCUUCUUGGAACUUUAGGAAUUUUUAGAGGAGGUACCUGUCAUUAUGAUACUGGAACUUAUUCAGGAGUCCAGCAUGUUUCAUCAUACAUGACUGGUGAAAGAAGGAAAAAAAAAGAUUAUAAGAAGAGAGAGGCCUGAGCUAACAUACUCAUUCCCCUCUCCAUGUGAUGCCCUGCGCCACCUGAGAUUCUGCAGAGUAACCAUCAGCAAGAAGGCCCUCGCCAGAUGCAGCCCCUUGACCUUAGACUUCACAGCCUCCAUAACUCCCGCAGGUCAUGGAAGGAGAGUGACUCCAUGAAUCUAACAUAAAGAACACAGGAAGAGGGAAUGUUGAGAAGAUGAUGAGAACUAACCUGGCACAUACUAAGUUCUUACAUUUGUGCAGCACUUUGACAUUUACAGAGUAAUCUGGAGCCAUAAUAUUAUUUGUUCCCCACAGCCAUUCUGUGGAGAAAGGACAAACUUCAUCUUCAUUUGGGAGAUGAAGAAAACCAAGGAAAUUAGGUAUAAUGAACUCAAUUAAACUCACAAAACUGGUCAAUAGCACAUCUGGGACUAGAAUUCAUGUAUCUUGAUGAGUAGUUCAGUGUUUUCCUAUUACAUCCAACUGGUAAUGCAAUCUGUAGUAUAAUUUUUAAUAAAAUGCUAUUUAGGUAUACGUGUGUGUGUUUAGG
rnacentral:lncRNA from 10 species